rnacentral:rRNA from 1 species
GACGGACGCUGGCGGCGUGCUUAACACAUGCAAGUCGAGCGGUAAGGCCCUUUUGGGGGUACACGAGCGGCGAACGGGUGAGUAACACGUGGGUGACCUGCCCUCAGCUCUGGGAUAAGCCUGGGAAACUGGGUCUAAUACUGGAUAUGACCUUUCCUCGCAUGGGGUUGGGUGGAAAGUUUUUCGGCUGGGGAUGGGCCCGCGGCCUAUCAGCUUGUUGGUGGGGUGAUGGCCUACCAAGGCGACGACGGGUAGCCGGCCUGAGAGGGCGACCGGCCACACUGGGACUGAGACACGGCCCAGACUCCUACGGGAGGCAGCAGUGGGGAAUAUUGCGCAAUGGGCGGAAGCCUGACGCAGCGACGCCGCGUGGGGGAUGACGGCCUUCGGUU